AUCAGGUUUAAUUUUAACAAUGUCAUCAUUUCCGGGAAAUUGUAUAUUUAGGACUACGGGAUUUAUGACUUAGGGUAUAACGUAACCUGAAACUGAACACAGACGGUUGACAGUGACCUAAUUACGUUAAAAUAUUUGGUCUCCACUCCGCCAAACAACCAGUUUUUGCUUCUUUGAUCAAACCAAGAAGUCAGAGCGAAUACAAUACACAGUCCAUAGAAACAGCGAUAAGAAUCGAAGUUGAAUCUAGAAGUCAGAGCGAAUACAAUACACAGUCCAGAACCAGCAGAAAGAAUGAAAGAAAUCUGGUCUAGAACUUUUGUCACAGAUGCUUCGUGGACAGUAGGGACAAUAGUUGUAUCAACUUAUUGUCAUCCUGUAAUUACUGUUUCUAUCGGCGCUGGUGAAAUGAUUUAUUCGGCUUAUAAAGGUGAUCGUUAUGGAGCAGCAAUUAACUUUCUAUCAACCGUUACAUGUAUCAUCACACUCGGUUGGUCGAGGGCAAGAUAUUGGUGGGCAUUAUCUAGCCGUCGUAGGCCACCACCCACUGGUCUCAUUCCAAUACCCGCGAGUGAUUCCCAAAAGAAACUGAACGAAAACAAGACCGCUUAGGGGCCGCUUAUAUAUGACUUUGAGAGCCGGGACGGGGCGUUUUUUUAUCCCGCGUUUAUAUGCAUGGAGUCGUUCCACAUGGACAUUAGACAUUUAAUGUCCCCGCCGUCGUAGAAAACGUCCCGUCCCAGGUCUCAUAUAAUCUGCCCCUUAAAAGCUGGUUUGAACGGGACUGCCAAAAAUGUCUUUGUUGAUAAAGGGAAACAAGUCACAAAAAAGCACAAUGCACUUAAUAAGUAAAAGCUGUAUAUACUCGAAAGAUAGCAAUUUCGUCUUUUUUCAUAUGUUAUUAUGUAUAUGUAUUAUCAGUUUGGUAGAAAUGUUGUUAUAAUGAAUAUAGUUGAUAAAUAAGAGGACACUUUGUAAAUGUCUGAGGACUUUGUUAAACGUCGCAUUUUGGUCGCGUCAAAUGCAAUUCAAACAAUAGAUAAUGAGAUUAACAUCUUAUUAUCUAUUGUUGGAAUUGCAUUCGACGCGACCAAAAUGGUUUAACUUAUAGGCCUGCAUGAAUGAAUUUUCCACUGAAACGAUUUCUACACGCCUUUUUUAAAAAAUCCGGCAAUGAAAGGUCACCUCCCAAAGACAGCAAUGGAUGUUGCCUUUGGGAUACAAAAUUAAUAUUAAUUAUUUUCAUUAUAGUAGUAAAAGCAAUUUGAUUAGCUAAUAGUUGAUCUAGAUAAAUCGCGCAAUCACGCAAAAUUCAGGGUUAUCUGCAAGUGAGCCUGCGGUGGUUAACAAGCGGUAUUCAUUUGAAUGUAUUUAUGUAUUAAUAAUUGAUGUAUGUUUGGAUGUUGCUAUUAAAUAA